rnacentral:rRNA from 1 species
CGUAGGGUGCGAGCGUUAAUCGGAAUUACUGGGCGUAAAGCGUGCGCAGGCGGUUGGGUAAGACAGAUGUGAAAUCCCCGGGCUUAACCUGGGGAACUGCAUUUGUGACUGUCCGACUGGAGUACGUCAGAGGGGGUGGAAUUCCACGUGUAGCAGUGAAAUGCGUAGAUAUGUGGAAGAACACCGAUGGCGAAGGCAGCCCCCUGGGACGCAACUGACGCUCAUGCACGAAAGCGUGGGAGCAAACAGGAUU